rnacentral:misc_RNA from 1 species
UUUCCGUAGGUGAACCUGCGGAAGGAUCAUUAUUGAAUAAACCUGAUGUGGUUGUAGCUGGCCCUUUCGGGAGCAUGUGCACACCCGUCGUCUUUAUCUUUCCACCUGUGCACCUUUUGUAGACCUGGAUGUAACACUUUCCGAGGCAACUCGGUCGGGAGGAAUGCUGUCAGCUUUCCUUGGAUGUCCAGGCCUAUGUUUUCAUAUACCCCAAAGAAUGUAACAGAAUGUAUUAUUGGGCCUUGUGCCUAUAAACUAUAUACAACUUUCAGCAACGGAUCUCUUGGCUCUC